UAGGGAAUAUUGGGCAAUGGAAGGAAUUCUGACCCAGCCAUGCCGCGUGCAGGAAUACAGUCCUAUGGACUUUAAACUGCUUUUAUUAUAGAGUAAUCUGGGGGACGAGUCCCCCACUGCAAGUAUAUAAUGAAUAAGCAUCGGCUAACUCCGUGCCAGCAGCCGCGGUAAUACGGGGGAUGCAAGCGUUAUCCGGAUUUAUUGGGUUUAAAGGGUGCGCAGGCGGAUCGGUAAGUCAUGGGUGAAAAGUCACUGCUUAACAGUGAUCGUGCCUAUGAUACUGCCGGACUAGAGUUUAAGAGGUGUAACUGGAAUGUGAUGUGUAGCGGUGAAAUGCUUAGAUAUGUCACAGAACGCCAAUCGUGAAGACAGGUUACAAACUUAAUACUGACGCUCAUGCACGAAAGCGUGGGGAUCAAACA
rnacentral:rRNA from 1 species